GCGCGCUUACGUACGCACGGGCUCGUGCUCGUACCUCCUACUGCGUGGCGCGUUGGUUGCGCCUCCGAAAUGGAUCUGGAGCAGAGAUUCGAACUGAAACAUUGGCUCUUGGGUCUCAAGCCUGCUAUCCUUCAGACUGGAACUUAUGCCAUCAGCUCUUCUGAUUCUCAGGCUUUGGGAUUUGGAGUGGAACUAUACCAUCAGCUCUCCUGGAUCUCCAGCUUGCUAACUGCAGAUCUUGAGACUUCUCAUCCUCCAUGACCACGCAGAAUGAUUAGUAGAAGUUGGUUGAGGAGGUUCACUUCUUGGUCCUUGAAAGUCAAGAGAAUUAAUACAACAGAACCAUCGGAAAACUAAGGUCAAAGAUCACAAAAAGGACUCUCGAAAAGGGCUCUUCAAAUAAAUCAUUUCUGUCUCAAUUUACCCUCUGGAUGGUUAUCAAGAAAACAAAACUAGACAUGCUUACUAUGUACAUAUAAGUAGAUUCUA